CACAGUAUGGCUUCCCCAAAAUGGCCGCAUUUAGAAUGUGCCAUGGACCAAUAAAAACUGCAGUUUGGACACCCCUGGUGUAGACCAGUGUGAGUAGCAGAGAUGCAGCAUCCCUGAACAGAAGCAGGAGUUCGUCUUUGAACCGGGUGAUGCAAGCGUUCCGACGGGAAAAGGCGUCUUUAUAAAUAAAGAUACUGUGGAACCCCUUUGUGUCGACGCCCCUCGGAUUGGCUGACAAAUGUCAACAUAAGCGGUUGUGGACAUAACCAAGGAAGGAUCCGUGUUGCCGGGCUGUUGCUAGGGAAGUCGCAUCCAAACAGAAGAAAAACCAGACCUGAACCAGAAGUAAAAAUGCGGAGACUCCACCAAAACAGUUCUAAGUACCCCGGU